rnacentral:rRNA from 1 species
CCUACGGGUGGCAGCAGUCGAGAAUCAUUCUCAAUGGGGGAAACCCUGAUGCUGCGACGCCGCGUGGGGGAAUGAAGGUCUUCGGAUUGUAAACUCCUGUCAUGUGGGAGCAAAUUAAAAAGAUAGUACCACAAGAGGAAGAGACGGCUAACUCUGUGCCAGCAGCCGCGGUAAUACAGAGGUCUCAAGCGUUGUUCGGAAUCACUUGGCGUAAAGCGUGCGUAGGCUGUUUGGUAAGUCGUGUGUGAAAGGCGGGGGCUCAACCCGCGGACGGCACAUGAUACUGCGAGACUAGAGAAAUGGAGGGGGAGCCGGAAUUCUCGGUGUAGCAGUGAAAUGCGUAGAUAUCGAGAGGAACACUCGUGGCGAAGGCAGGUUCCUGGACAUUAACUGACGCUGAGGCACGAAGGCCAGGGGAGCGAAAGGGAUUAGAUACCCCUGUAGUC